UACGAAGGGGGCUAGCGUUGUUCGGAAUCACUGGGCGUAAAGGGCGCGUAGGCGGCUUUAUAAGUCGGGGGUGAAAGCCUGUGGCUCAACCACAGAAUUGCCUUCGAUACUGUAGAGCUUGAGACCGGAAGAGGUAAGUGGAACUGCGAGUGUAGAGGUGAAAUUCGUAGAUAAUCGCAAGAACACCAGUGGCGAAGGCGGCUUACUGGUCCGGUUCUGACGCUGAGGCGCGAAAGCGUGGGGAGCAAACAGG
rnacentral:rRNA from 1 species